rnacentral:rRNA from 1 species
UACGUAGGGUGCAAGCGUUAAUCGGAAUUACUGGGCGUAAAGCGUGCGCAGGCGGUUUUGUAAGUCUGUCGUGAAAGCCCCGGGCUUAACCUGGGAACUGCGUUUGAAACUGGGAGACUUGAGUGUGGCAGAGGGGGGUGGAAUUCCACGUGUAGCAGUGAAAUGCGUAGAUAUGUGGAGGAACACCGAUGGCGAAGGCAGCCCCCUGGGUUAACACUGACGCUCAUGCACGAAAGCGUGGGGAGCAAACAGG